UGCCAGCCGCCGCGGUAAUACGAAUGGAGCGAGCGUUGUUCGGAAUCACUGGGCGUAAAGCGUAUGUAGGCGGACUUGAAAGUCAGAAGUGAAAUCCCGAGGCUUAACCUCGGAAUUGCUUUUGAAACUCCAAGUCUCGAGUCCCGGAGGGGUUGACGGAAUUCCGAGUGUAGAGGUGAAAUUCGCAGAUAUUCGGAGGAACACCAGUGGCGUAGGCGGUCAACUGGACGGGAACUGACGCUGAGAUACGAAAGCGUGGGGAGCAAACAGGAUUAGAUA
rnacentral:rRNA from 1 species